GACGUAGGAGGCGAGCGUUGUCCGGAUUCAUUGGGCGUAAAGAGCACGCAGGCGGUUUGGCAAGUCGGAUGUGAAAACCCGGAGCUCAACUCCGGACCUGCAUCCGAAACUGCCCGACUAGAGGUAGGUAGGGGAGAUCGGAAUUCCUGGUGUAGCGGUGAAAUGCGCAGAUAUCAGGAGGAACACCGGUGGCGAAGGCGGAUCUCUGGGCCUUACCUGACGCUCAGGUGCGAAAGCGUGGGGAGCGAACAGG
rnacentral:rRNA from 1 species